CUGCUGCCUUCCGUAGGAGUUUGGGCCGUGUCUCAGUCCCGAUGUGGCCGGUCACCCUCUCAGGUCGGCUACUGAUCGUUGCCUUGGUGAGCCGUUACCUCUCCAACUAGCUAAUCAGACGCGGGUCCAUCUCAUACCACCUCAGUUUUUCACACCAAACCAUGCGGUUUUGUGCGCUUAUGCGGUAUUAGCAGUCAUUUCUAACUGUUAUCCCCCUGUAUGAGGCAGGUUACCCACGCGUUACUCACCCGUCCG
rnacentral:rRNA from 1 species